rnacentral:rRNA from 1 species
GCCUGAUCCAGCAAUGCCGCGUGUGUGAAGAAGGCCUUCGGGUUGUAAAGCACUUUUAUCAGGAGCGAAAUACUGCCGGCUAAUACCCGGCGGGGCUGACGGUACCUGAGGAAUAAGCACCGGCUAACUUCGUGCCAGCAGCCGCGGUAAUACGAAGGGUGCAAGCGUUAAUCGGAAUUACUGGGCGUAAAGCGUGCGUAGGCGGUUCUUUAAGUCUGCUGUGAAAUCCCCGGGCUCAACCUGGGAAUGGCAGUGGAUACUGGAGAGCUAGAGUGUGAUAGAGGAUGGUGGAAUUCCCGGUGUAGCGGUGAAAUGCGUAGAGAUCGGGAGGAACAUCAGUGGCGAAGGCGGCCAUCUGGAUCAACACUGACGCUGAGGCACGAAAGCGUGGGGAGCAAACAGGAUUAGAUACCCUGGUAGUCCACGCCCUAAACGAUGCGAACUGGAUGUUGGUCUCAACUCGGAGAUCAGUGUCGAAGCUAACGCGUUAAGUUCGCCGCCUGGGGAGUACGGUCGCAAGACUGAAACUCAAAGGAAUUGACGGGGGCCCGCACAAGCGGUGGAGUAUGUGGUUUAAUUCGAUGCAACGCGAAGAACCUUACCUGGCCUUGACAUGUCUGGAAUCCUG